UACGGAGGGAGCUAGCGUUAUUCGGAAUUACUGGGCGUAAAGCGCACGUAGGCGGCUUUGUAAGUUAGAGGUGAAAGCCUGGAGCUCAACUCCAGAAUUGCCUUUAAGACUGCAUCGCUUGAAUCCAGGAGAGGUGAGUGGAAUUCCGAGUGUAGAGGUGAAAUUCGUAGAUAUUCGGAAGAACACCAGUGGCGAAGUCGGCUCACUGGACUGGUAUUGACGCUGAGGUGCGAAAGCGUGGGGAGCAAACGGG
rnacentral:rRNA from 1 species